CUGCUUACUAUUGCCACAAGUAGCUGA
rnacentral:piRNA from 1 species